AUAAUGGUACUCUAUGUUCAUCCAGAAAUGGUGGCAUCUCGGAGCGAUCCUCGGAGGGGUGGGAUUCCCGGA
rfam:Oscillibacter sp. CAG:155 genomic scaffold, scf194